CUCGGUUAACAUCAUACAUCUGGGGUUGAUAAAUCAUUUUAUUCCACUGCAUGUUGAUUUUGAUAGCGAAAUCAACAUCUGAUUGGUUGAAACUAUUCCACGUGACGUCGAACAAAACUUCAUAUUCCCUUCUGAGUAUCAUAUUCCCCUCUGAACGUCGGGAUUGCCUUGAGCGACGUUACCCAAAGUUAAUGUUUUAAAACUUUUUG
rnacentral:lncRNA from 1 species